rnacentral:misc_RNA from 1 species
GUGAAGAAAUACAAAAAUCCAAACUAUACAAAACAGACCUGCCAGAUAGUAAGAUAUUAAAUUGAUGAAAGUAAUGCCUAAAUUAUUUUGACAUAAAACAAGUAGCAUAAUAAUUAUCUCUAUAUUUUCUUAGCAACUAAAUAUAAUUAAUCGUAUUAUGUGUAUAUUUUAUAAUUUAUAUCUUGCAAACAAUAGUUACUAUCAAUCCUGAUAAUUCCUUUCAAUUUUCUCAAGUAAAGAAAAAAAUAAAAACUAAAAAGGAAAUU